GGGCCCUUAGCUCAGCGGUAAGAGCACCCGGCUCAUAACCGGAGGCGCCCAGGUUCGAAUCCUGGAGGGCCCA
rnacentral:tRNA from 1 species